ensembl:lncRNA
AGCGUUCCCUGCCUGCAGGCCCCAAAUCCAUCUCCAUGUCUUCACCUGAGUCUUCUCUGUAUUUAAAGGAGCCUUAAAUGUGGUACCUUCUCUUUUAGCCCUGGUGGCUCAACUUCAGAGCCCUGGGCCCCUUUCGAGGCAGAAGCACCAGUGACCUGGGCAGAGACCACCGGACGGCCUUCACCAAGCCCUGCCUUUAAACAGGCGACUGCACGGCAGCCCACCCGUCUUCUUGCCUGGAGAAUCCCAAGGACAGAGAUCGCCUCCCGCAUACUGCCAGCCCCCCGGAGGCCCCUUCCCCUGGAGCGCCAGGCCCCGUCCAUCCUCGGUGCCCACGGUCACCCUUCAAAGGCCGGCGUGCCUCCAGCCCACGUGUUCUGCCAUCUGUCCUGCCCUCCCUCCUCGCUGACCCCUGGGGAACCCAGCGGAGCAGGGGCCCAGCCUGGAUCUUGGUCACAGAGAAGCGUGUUGUGAUUUAACUGGGAUUUUGGGCUGGGCAUCCCCGAGGCCCACUUCUCCAGCCACCAGUACAGCGCGCUCUUCGAGGAGACCUGCUGACAGGUCAGGACCCAUCUUAGCACUUGAAGAGCAAACACACCACCGGCCUCACUGCUGUGGCUGCUGUGUCCCUGGGUUUGGGGAGCAGCCACCAUCCUCCUAAGAUGCUAGUGUGGGUUUUUCAGGGAGGAAGAGACUCCCGCGCAGCAAGUCCUCGUGGGCAUCCACCUCGCCCCCCGCCCCAGGAUCCUGGCGGGCCCUGACAAGGCAGGGAGGGAUCAAAGGCUCUGGACAUAAAGAGCUUUAUAAAGGCAUCCUGGGAACUGCUGACCUGAGCGCCUCCGAUGCAGACAUGACCCGACGGGGAGCCCCGCACAGCCCGCCGCCGACCCGCGGCUGCACUCCGUCCUACAGGCUUGCCCAUAGGUCACUGUGUGGAUCCCAGGGCCCUUCUUC